CCAGACUCCUACGGGAGGCAGCAGUGGGGAAUCUUCCGCAAUGGACGAAAGUCUGACGGAGCAACGCCGCGUGAGUGAUGACGGCCUUCGGGUUGUAAAGCUCUGUUAAUCGGGACGAAAGGCCUUCUUGCGAAUAGUGAGAAGGAUUGACGGUACCGGAAUAGAAAGCCACGGCUAACUACGUGCCAGCAGCCGCGGUAAUACGUAGGUGGCAAGCGUUGUCCGGAAUUAUUGGGCGUAAAGCGCGCGCAGGCGGAUCAGUCAGUCUGUCUUAAAAGUUCGGGGCUUAACCCCGUGAUGGGAUGGAAACUGCUGAUCUAGAGUAUCGGAGAGGAAAGUGGAAUUCCUAGUGUAGCGGUGAAAUGCGUAGAUAUUAGGAAGAACACCAGUGGCGAAGGCGACUUUCUGGACGAAAACUGACGCUGAGGCGCGAAAGCCAGGGGAGCGAACGGGAUUAGAUACCCCGGUAGUCCUGGCCGUAAACGAUGGGUACUAGGUGUAGGAGGUAUCGACCCCUUCUGUGCCGGAGUUAACGCAAUAAGUACCCCGCCUGGGGAGUACGACCGCAAGGUUGAAACUCAAAGGAAUUGACGGGGGCCCGCACAAGA
rnacentral:rRNA from 1 species